rnacentral:rRNA from 1 species
GAUGAACGCUGGCGGCGUGCCUAAUACAUGCAAGUCGAGCGAAGCGGGGACGGGUGAGUAACACGUGGAUUACCUCCUAUAAGACUGGGAUAACUUCGGGAAACCGGAUCUAAACCGGAUGCUUAUAGAUGCAUCCGCGCUGCUUUAGCUAGUUGGUACGGUAACGGCUUACCAGGGCAACGAUGCCUAGCCGACCUGAGAGGGGGAUCGGCGAAGCGGGAACUGAGACGCGGUCCAGACUCCUACGGGAGGCAGCAGUAGGGAAGCUUCCGCAAUGGGCGAAAGCCUGACGGAGCAACGCGGCGUGAGAGAUGAAGGUCUUCGGAUCGUAAAACUCUGUUAUGAGGGAAGCGGUACCGAAUCAGAAAGCCACGGCUAACUACGUGCCAGCAGCCGCGGUAAUUC